rnacentral:lncRNA from 1 species
GAUGCAGAUUUGGAUUUUCUAUUUCAUAGUUAUUGAAAUCAUAAUGAGAAUGAAGUACUGCCACUAAGGUAAAGGUGCUAACUUGCAAGGAGCUGUUCUCAAAACAUUGGGUGACAAAGAAUUCACUUUUACAAAAAUCGAGCAGGAUAUUAAAGACAGCGAACUAUAGAACAAAUAUGGCGAAGCUGCAUGAAGUCUAUGUUGAAUUUUAUUAUUGAAAAAAAUAUGCUCUUCAGAUUUAAUGUUAGUUUUUAUUGUUUAACAGUAAUUGCAGUUUUCGAAUACCUGUAAAAUAAACCUAAUUCUUAAA